ACACGAUAUAUGCAAAAUUAGUAAAAGGUAGUUGGGCAGCUAAGUGGCACAGUGAAUAGAGUUCUGGAUCUGGAGUUAGGAAAACUCAUCUUGUCCACUGUACACCUUUGGUGCAAAGGCAUUAUCAGCUUCUUCACUUUGAAGGAUCAUUGGGAAGAAAAACAGAACUUGGGAAGAGGUUCCUAACUCAGAAAAUAAAGAUAUCAAGUGUACUGUGGCUGUCUUUGCAAAGAACUGCAAGAUUCCUAACCCUGGAGAAAAAUAAUAGCAGGACUUUGGAUACAAAUUUUUUUCUAACCAAAGAAAAAGUUUCAAGUGUAUAUGAACCUCUGGGAAACUCAAUCUGGGCAGUUUUGAAUAGACAGUUUGUUUCUUUGAUCCAAAAGGAAAGAGAGAGGAGAUAUCUCACUAGAAGUACCACAUACAUAGGAGCACAAGAGCCAAGAGAUACUGAACUCACAAUUCAUGAUAGUCGAGAGAUGGAUACAGGAACUAGAAAGAUAUUUCUACUUCUGAACAAAAGUUCUGUGGACUGGGGAACAAACAUUGCAACUACUCUGGAAAGAGAAAUGUUCAAUAAUAUUACAUUGGAUCCAAAACACAUUCCCCAAAAUGGCAGGCUCUGAAUCAUUUAUCAGCACUCAUCAUGGUAUGCCAAGUUUGAUGUCAAGAAGAUACCUUCCCUAGCUCUAUCUCCCAAGGCAUGUCACUUAACCCCCUACCUAUUCAGUUUCUUCAUCUGAAAAAUGUUUAUAGUCUAUCUCUCAAAAGGGUUGUUGUAUCAAAUAAUCACUCUGGAAAUUUAAUCUGUGCUUGUAACUCAUUCCCUAUCAUUUAGUUCCACUCAGAGCUUCAGUUUUAAGAAAGAAUCCAGGCCAACUAUGUCCUUGUGCCUCUUCAGCCACCCCCGACCUUUUCUUUUUUGCCUUCCCCCACUGGAAAAUAAAUUUCUUAAGGACAGAGACA
ensembl:lncRNA